UACAGAAGAGGAAUAAUACAGAUAAGGUAAGAACCUCUGACAUAUUGCGUCUAUCAAUUCCCUCCAUAGUUGAUAUGUUGAAGUCCUCUGGAAAUCUUAAAACUGAAAUUUCAAUUUGGAUGAUUCUUAAUAAAGGUAAAAUUGAAGGAAAAUAUGGAAACAUAGCAUUGAAAUUCAACAAUGGAAAAUGAUGCUUACACAAAUUAGAUCAUAGUUAAAAGAUUCAUGAAAUGUACACUAUCGAAUUGACAGAACACAUGGGGAUUUCGAAAAGGAAAAAACAGAAUAACACAAACUAAUAGGACGGAGCCGAACAUAUACCACCAUAACCAAAAUUAAGACAGUAGGCAUUAACCCAUUUGCAGAUCCGAUUGAGCUAAUUUUCCUGAGCUUCAACCACGGACCCAUUCAUGAAUCCCUAAAUUUACCCAAUCUUAACAACUUGAAGAAUUUAGUACAAAAAUUUAACCGAGCAGUAAACUUCGAAAGCAAAAAGAGUUACGAAAACAAAUAGAAAACAGAAUGGUUAACAUACAACAAAAUUUGUUGCCUCUAGAUUUGCAAGGAAGCAAAAUCUUCAGCUGAUGCAAAACCUAUGUCGUUUGGUUAAUCACAAACGUUUCUUUUAUUAGCAAUCAUCACAAACGCCGACAGAAAAAGACAACUAAAGGACAUAUUUCUCACCGCAACAUAUAAAUUGAGAAACAAAAUGGAACAAAUAUAAGUUAGAAAGAGUACAAAGCAAGAAAUAAUGAAGAGAAAUACAUGGAAGGCACUGGAAGAGCAGAAGAAGUAGGAUUGCAGUGGCACCACCCACCCUCUCUCGCUCGCCGAUUCCUAUUCGGUUUAGUGUGCUCUAAUAAGCCCAGAAAUCUCAACACUCAGACAGAGACAAAUUGUAGAAACAUAUAAGAAAGCAAAUAUAGGAUCCCCAACAUCUUACAUGGAACUUGGUAGUAUCAAUGGGUGGACUUCUUCUUAUCUGCAUAAUUUUCGUAAAAAAAUAAUCAAAUUACUUAAACUGAAACGAUAAAGAACAACUUUGAAACCAAAACGUACGGAUGAUUUCUUGCCGCUAGAUUUCCAAGGAAGCAAAAUCUUCAAACUGUCCUGGAUAUAUAAAAAAAAUAAAAAGAAGAAGAAGUGGAGUGGUUGUGUGCAGAGAGACGAAGAGGGUUAAAACUGAUCCCAAUCAGAACAACCUGUAUGGGAAAAGAAGCAAACAGAGUUUCACCUUUCCCUCGCUAAAAUGCUUCCUCUCUUUUCUCCUUCUCCUUCUCUCCAACCCAAAACUGUAAAACACUUCCAGUAAAAUCAAAUUAAAGAAUCAAACCCAGGAACAAAAUCACAAAAAAAAUGAGAGAAAUUCGAAAGGGUAAUGGAACCCUAGUUUUUUAAAUUGGGAAGUUGGGUACCUGGAGAAGAUGGAAAUGAAGGCGACGGUUUAAGUCACAAAUAGCUUAAUCGAAGCAAGAUCCAGAUGAACAACAAAUGGGUAACUGAGAUAGAGCGAGAGGAAGAUCGGAGCUUACAUGAAAGUUGCUGGUGCGGUUGGAUGCUGCUCCCUUUUCAGAGCUUCGACUCUGGCAAUUGAAAUCAAAUACAAAUUAUCAUCUCUUUGGGUUAUUUCUCCUAUUAAUACAAUAAAUACAAAAGCCUGUACUGAUGAAACAAAUAAAAAUAAAUAAAAAAAUUGAAAAACCAAAAAGUGUAUACCUCGGGAUUAAAUCGGUGGUGGUUUGGAGAGGAUAGAUAGUUAGAUGGGAGGAGCUAGUGACAGGAGGUUCGGCUGGCGGUGGCCGCGGAGGAGGGAGAAAGAGAGGUGGCUGCGGAGGAGGGAGAGAGAGAGAGUUAGUGAGAGACGGAUCCAGAUUCCAGAAAACAGGAUCCCGUAGUGGGUUUUAAUUCUAUCGGCAUGGCAAGAUAAUGGGGUUUCAGUUCGCAAGAUAAUGGGUUUCAGUUUUUGCACGGAAGUUUUUUCCUUUUUUAUUUUUCGUGUUUUUUUCCCUUUUUUUUCGAAAACUGCCGAACGUGGUUGAAGUUGUGUCUUCC
rnacentral:lncRNA from 1 species